UGUAUCCCCCAGAGUUUUGGGUGGAUGGCAAGAGGUGGAUUUUAGGACCGAAAUAGGUGCGUGGUCCAAAAGGUUAAAAAUAACUGCACCUCCUGAGACUUCUCCCUGGGCUGUGCUCUUCCCUGGGAUUCUGUGAGCUUUUUCCACCCAAACUGGCACCUAGCACAGUGUCAUCCUGAUGCAUGGCAGGAACUAGAAGAUGCUCCUGCAAAGCAAAUUAACAAUGUCUGUGGGAUUUGGAAAUGACAUGAAGAAUUAUUCAAGAUCCAGCUCCAGAAAGUAAAUCACUAAGUCAAAUUGUUAAUGAUAGCUGUGACAGCAAUGCAUGGUUUGGAAUUUUAUUGGAAAGAAUUUGACAAAUGCUUUAGAUAAUGAACAAAGUAAUAAAAAAUCAAUGUCUAUUCCCAGAUAAUUUGUGAAAAGGAAAAGGAGCUUAUUUAUCAACUAUAUUGUUUCUGCAAAUAGUUCACCUCAUGAUUUCAGAGGGGAAGUAGGUAGGAAGAGAAAAUGAGCUUAACAAAACAAACAUUGGUUUAUAUGUCAAUAUUCUUGUAAAUGACAAUGACAAAAGGGAAAUACAGCUAAUAUGAUAUGGGAACAAAAUAACUUUGAAAAUGAAAAUUUUGUUGUGACUCUUCUAAUUCUCACCAGCUCCAUAACGAUGACAAAUCCAAGAACCACCGAGUGUA